rnacentral:lncRNA from 1 species
UUCCGAAAUUGCCAUGUUGUGAACGUUUAAACACUUUUGUCUUUUUUUCACUCUACUUUCAUGUUUUUGAAUUUGCAAUAAUAUAAAGAUAUUAAAAUAUCAUCGUUAAUUGGCGCCUCGUUCUAUUUUUUUUUUAAUACCGAGUGAUUUGAAGUAUUAACGGAACGUGUCCUGUGCAUUUUGUUGGAUUAAUAUUUGGUCUACUUUUCACAAUUCUAACUGAAUAUAUUUAUGUCACCUGUCAUAUUUCCAGUUUUUAUUUUUAAUUUAAUUGUUAAAUUGAUAACAACGAAAAGACGUAUCUAUUGUGACGGUCUCUGCCCAGCUCUUAGUUACGGUAACGAUAUUUGAAAAUUAAAGCUUGUAAUAUGACCAAUCAUCACGACCCCUUGGUAGGAGACAUAACUUCAAGUAAUUCUCUUUUUUAAACCCUAAACUUAUAGCUAUGCAACAACAACAAAAAACGAUAAAUUCAAUAUUGUUAUACACACGUAGUUAUAGUAAGUUCUAGCUAUCCACGAUCUCUUAAUUCGGAAGAAUUUC